rnacentral:rRNA from 1 species
UAGGGAAUCUUCGGCAAUGGGGGGAACCCUGACCGAGCAACGCCGCGUGAGGGAAGAAGGUUUUCGGAUCGUAAAGCUCUGUUGUUAAGGAAGAACGAGUGCGAGAAUGGAAAGUUCAUACUGUGACGGUACUUAACCAGAAAGGGACGGCUAACUACGUGCCAGCAGCCGCGGUAAUACGUAGGGCCCGAGCUUUGUCCGGAUUUAUUGGGCGUAAAGCGAGCGCAGGCGGUUAGAUAAGUCUGAAGUUAAAGGCAGUGGCUCAACCAUUGUAGGCUUUGUAUACUGUUUAACUUGAGUGCAGAAGGGGAGAGUGGAAUUCCUUGUGUAGCGGUGAAAUGCGUAGAUAUCAGGAGGAACACCAGUGGCGAAGGCGACUCUCUGGUCUGUAACUGACGCUGAGGCUCGAAAGCGUGGGUAGCAAACAGG